rnacentral:rRNA from 1 species
GUAGGGGGCAAGCGUUGUCCGGAUUUAUUGGGCGUAAAGCGCUCGCAGGUGGUCCGUCGCGUCGUGCGUGAAAGACCCCGGCUCAACUGGGGAGUGUCGUGCGAUACGGGCGGACUGGAGGCCAGUAGGGGGAUGCGGAAUUCCGGGUGUAGUGGUGGAAUGCGUAGAGAUCCGGAGGAACACCAGCGGCGAAGGCGGCAUCCUGGACUGGUCCUGACACUCAGGAGCGAAAGCGUGGGGAGCGAUCCGGAUUAGAUACCCGGGUAGUCCACGCUGUAAACGAUGAGUACUAGGUGUCGGGGGUAUCGACCCCCUCGGUGCCGAAGCUAACGCGUUAAGUAUCCCGCCUGGGGAGUACGCAGGCAACUGUG